GGUCCCAUAGCUCAGUCGGUUAGAGCACCUGACUCAUAAUCAGGGAGUCCUUGGUUCAAGCCCAAGUGGGACCA
rnacentral:tRNA from 1 species